UGGGGAAUAUUGGACAAUGGGCGCAAGCCUGAUCCAGCCAUGCCGCGUGGGUGACGAAGGCCUUAGGGUUGUAAACCCCUUUUCUCUGGGAAGAAGGUCUGACGGUACCAGAGGAAUCAGCAUCGGCUAACUCCGUGCCAGCAGCCGCGGUAAGACGGAGGAUGCAAGCGUUAUCCGGAAUUAUUGGGCGUAAAGCGUCCGUAGGCGGUUUAUCAAGUCAGUUGUUAAAGACUGCAGCUCAACUGUGGGCGAGCAACUGAAACUGAUGAACUAGAGUGCGGUAGGGGUAGAGGGAAUUCCCAGUGUAGCGGUGAAAUGCGUAGAUAUUGGGAAGAACACCAGUGGCGAAGGCGCUCUACUGGGCCGCAACUGACGCCGAGGGACGAAAGCUAGGGGAGCGAAAGGGAUUAGAUACCCCCGUAGUCC
rnacentral:rRNA from 1 species